CCUACGGGAGGCAGCAGUGAGGAAUAUUGGUCAAUGGACGAGAGUCUGAACCAGCCAAGUAGCGUGAAGGAUGACUGCCCUAUGGGUUGUAAACUUCUUUUAUAUGGGAAUAAAACGUUCCACGUGUGGGAUUUUGUAUGUACCAUAUGAAUAAGGAUCGGCUAACUCCGUGCCAGCAGCCGCGGUAAUACGGAGGAUCCGAGCGUUAUCCGGAUUUAUUGGGUUUAAAGGGAGCGUAGGUGGAUUGUUAAGUCAGUUGUGAAAGUUUGCGGCUCAACCGUAAAAUUGCAGUUGAAACUGGCAGUCUUGAGUACAGUAGAGGUAGGCGGAAUUCGUGGUGUAGCGGUGAAAUGCUUAGAUAUCACGAAGAACUCCGAUUGCGAAGGCAGUUCACUGGACUGCAACUGACACUGAGGCUCGAAAGUGUGGGUAUCAAACAGGAGUAGAUACCCGAGUAGUC
rnacentral:rRNA from 1 species